AUGAGCAUGUGUAGCUUGACAGUAUUAGGUUAGUAGUUUUAGUAUUGUUUUGAAACAAUGGGCUUUUAGACCAAGGUGUGCUCUUGAGGUUGGGAUAUCAAUUACAAUGGAGACUGUAUAGUGCUAGAUUGGUCGAGUAUAGGUGAUGUUUUACUGUUUAUAUCAUUGUGUCA